rnacentral:snRNA from 1 species
GAGCGUUACAGCUCUUUCAGAAAAUGUCUAAAAGGUUUCCUGGCCCACACUGGAAAACCCAA